rnacentral:tRNA from 1 species
GGGUGUGUAGCUCAGUUGGUAGAGCAGCUGACUCUUAAUCAGCGGGUCCACAGUUCAAUCCUGUGCACACCCACCA